rnacentral:rRNA from 1 species
AGAGUGAACGCUGGCGGUAGGCCUAACACAUGCAAGUCGAACGGCAGCACAGGAGAGCUUGCUCUCUGGGUGGCGAGUGGCGGACGGGUGAGGAAUACAUCGGAAUCUACCUUUUCGUGGGGGAUAACGUAGGGAAACUUACGCUAAUACCGCAUAAGACCUUCGGGUGAAAGCCGGGGACCUUCGGGCCUGGCGCGGAUAGAUGAGCCGAUGUCGGAUUAGCUUGUUGGCGGGGUAAAAGCCCACCAAGGCGACGAUCCGUAGCUGGUCUGAGAGGAUGAUCAGCCACACUGGAACUGAGACACGGUCCAGACUCCUACGGGAGGCAGCAGUGGGGAAUAUUGGACAAUGGGCGCAAGCCUGAUCCAGCCAUACCGCGUGGGUGAAGGAA